CCCCUGGAGGACUAGUGGUAAGGCCUCGGUGCUUUCACCGACGUGGCCCGGGUUCGAUUCCCAGCCAGGGCA